AUUGAACGCUGGCGGCAUGCUUUACACAUGCAAGUCGAACGGUAACAGGGAGCUUGCUCCGCUGACGAGUGGCGAACGGGUGAGUAAUGCGUCGGAACGUGCCGAGUAGUGGGGGAUAACGCAUCGAAAGGUGUUCUAAUACCGCAUACGUACUGAGGUAGAAAGUGGGGGACCUUCGGGCCUCACGCUAUUCGAGCGGCCGACGUCCGAUUAGCUAGUUGGUGAGGGAAAGGCUCACCAAGGCGACGAUCAGUAGCGGGUCUGAGAGGAUGAUACGCUACACUGGGACUGAGACACGUCCCAAACGCCUGAGGGAGGCAGAAGUGUGUAAUUUUGUACAAUGGGCGCAAGCCUGAGCCAGCCAUGCCGCGUGUCUGAAGAAGUCAUUCGGGUUGUAAAGGACUUAUGUCCGGGAGCAAAUGCCUGGUGUUAAUAACAUCGGGAGCUUAGAGUACCGGAAGAAUGAGCACCGGCUAACUACGUGCCAGCCGCCGCCGUAAUAC
rnacentral:rRNA from 1 species